rnacentral:rRNA from 1 species
GUUUGAUUAUGGCUCAGGAUGAACGCUGGCGGUGUGCCUAACACAUGCAAGUCGAGCGAUUUACUUCGGUAAAGAGCGGCGGACGGGUGAGUAACGCGUGGGUAACCUGCCCUGUACACACGGAUAACAUACCGAAAGGUAUGCUAAUACGAGAUAAAAUACUUUUAUCGCAUGGUAGAAGUAUCAAAGCUUUUGCGGUACAGGAUGGACCCGCGUCUGAUUAGCUAGUUGGUAAGGUAACGGCUUACCAAGGCGACGAUCAGUAGCCGACCUGAGAGGGUGAUCGGCCACAUUGGAACUGAGACACGGUCCAAACUCCUACGGGAGGCAGCAGUGGGGAAUAUUGCACAAUGGGCGAAAGCCUGAUGCAGCAACGCCGCGUGAGCGAUGAAGGCCUUCGGGUCGUAAAGCUCUGUCCUCAAGGAAGAUAAUGACGGUACUUGAGGAGGAAGCCCCGGCUAACUACGUGCCAGCAGCCGCGGUAAUACGUAGGGGGCUAGCGUUAUCCGGAAUUACUGGGCGUAAAGGGUGCGUAGGUGGUUUCUUAAGUCAGAGGUGAAAGGCUACGGCUCAACCGUAGUAAGCCUUUGAAACUGGGGAACUUGAGUGCAGGAGAGGAGAGUGGAAUUCCUAGUGUAGCGGUGAAAUGCGUAGAUAUUAGGAGGAACACCAGUUGCGAAGGCGGCUCUCUGGACUGUAACUGACACUGAGGCACGAAAGCGUGGGGAGCAAACAGGAUUAGAUACCCUGGUAGUCCACGCCGUAAACGAUGAGUACUAGCUGUCGGAGGUUACCCCCUUCGGUGGCGCACCUAACGCAUUAAGUACUCCGCCUGGGAAGUACGCUCGCAAGAGUGAAACUCAAAGGAAUUGACGGGGACCCGCACAAGUAGCGGAGCAUGUGGUUUAAUUCGAAGCAACGCGAAGAACCUUACCUAAGCUUGACAUCCUUUUGACCGAUGCCUAAUCGCAUCUUUCCCUUCGGGGACAGAAGUGACAGGUGGUGCAUGGUUGUCGUCAGCUCGUGUCGUGAGAUGUUGGGUUAAGUCCCGCAACGAGCGCAACCCUUGCCUUUAGUUGCCAGCAUUAAGUUGGGCACUCUAGAGGGACUGCCAGGGAUAACCUGGAGGAAGGUGGGGAUGACGUCAAAUCAUCAUGCCCCUUAUGCUUAGGGCUACACACGUGCUACAAUGGGUGGUACAGAGGGCAGCCAAGUCGUGAGGCGGAGCUAAUCCCUUAAAGCCAUUCUCAGUUCGGAUUGUAGGCUGAAACUCGCCUACAUGAAGCUGGAGUUACUAGUAAUCGCAGAUCAGAAUGCUGCGGUGAAUGCGUUCCCGGGUCUUGUACACACCGCCCGUCACACCACGGAAGUUGGGGGCGCCCGAAGCCACUUAGCUAACCCUUUUGGGAAGCGAGUGUCGAAGGUGAAAUCAAUAACUGGGGUGAAGUCGUAAAAAGGUACCC